UGGUAGAGUAGAGCUCACCUACAAAGUAUUUUGUUCACAAUUGCUUGUGUUGAACAAACCUUAAUCAGGUUCCUUUUAACCUACAGAAAGAGCAGAUGGAUUAUACCAACCUCAAGCUUUUUAGCUUUAUAUGGAUUUUUGUUCCAUCCUGAUGAUUAGAAGAGUGUUUGAGGGUUUAACAGAUUUCCUGAGAACAACAGUAAGUGUUUGCUGUCUUUUUCUAACAUCAUUUGAAGUCUUUUAGGUAAAAAGAUUCAGUUUUUAUAGUGGAUGUUAACCGUGUAACAUUUGAAACAUUACAUCAUUUCUAGAAAACUCACAUUUUAUUGGUCCAAGAUAUCAAACGUUGCUUCAACGUCACUUCAACGUCACUUCCAUACGAGACGUUACACCGUUGAAGUGUGGAGUUAGACCGAGCGGCUGAACGACAGAUCUUCUAACAAUUUUCCACCCUGGUGACCACAGAGGCCUUCGAGGGUUCCAGACGUCCUUCAGAACAACAAUGAGAAAAACAUCACAGCGGAGUUUGGACACGACGUAAUUCUGACAUGUCAAGUUAGAAACGACAACAAAAAGAUCAUAGUUGUAGAGUGGAGCAGAGCUGACCUGGAGCCACAACAUGUCCUUUUGCAACGGAAUGAGCAGUUUGUUCCAGAUGGUCAGCAUCCAUCUUUUAAGAACCGGGUGGAUCUGCAGGACAGACAGAUGAAGGAUGGAGACGUGUCUUUGAUUCUGAAGGAUGUGACGAUUAAUGAUGCUGGAACAUACGAGUGUCGUGUUCAGAGACAGAGAGAAAGUUUAAGUCUCAUCAGCACUUUUUACCUGAGUGUUGUUCCUCCAGGUCAAUCAGGAGGACACAAAGAAGAUAGAAGGAACAAAGAUGGAGGGAAGGAGGAUGGCUCGGUUGGACUGAUAGUUGGUCUGUCAGUUUCUGCUGUGCUGCUUGUUGUUGUUGUUGUUGGAUUUUUGAUCUACAGAAGACUUCAACAACGACAGAGUCAGGAUUCAUACCAGCCUCCUGUUGAACUGCAGCUUGUUUGAAAUGAACUCUGAGUCUCCUGCUGCUGUUCAGACUCUCAGUGUUGUCAGUGAACAUUCAGGUACAGACAGAUGAUCUGAUCAUCCAGCAGACAGACAUCAAAUUUGUAAUGGAAACAAACACACAGAAAUUAAUUAACCAUAACAUUAAACUAUGGAAAUUUCUGUUUGCUCAGGGAUACAAGUAAAUCUACCUAACUAUAUGUUAAUUUAGCAUCUUAAUCAACCAAAAAAAAUAUGAUUUAGUUAGUGUUUGUUUGUUA